GGAGGGCUCGCAUAGUGGCCUAGUGCGGCGGUCUUGAAAACCGCUGUGGGGUUAAACCCACCGAGAGUUCGAAUCUCUCGCCCUCCG
rnacentral:tRNA from 1 species